CUUGGGUUCUGAAAUACCAGCAUGCCAACGCGAAACGAUUCCCUCGGGGAGAACUUUCCUCCUGAAGAGUCUCCAACGCCCCGCGCUGCUGAGCCCCGCCGAUAUGCAAAGCAUUGAAAGUCUUCAUUUUUUUUCCCUUCAAAAUAUAUUUAACUUCAGUAAACCUUAAGCCAAGCCUCUUGCAGAUGGCAGACAGCUUAAUUGCUGUGGUAAAAUCGUCUGACGUUUUUUUGGAAAACCUUGGGUGCUAUAAUAACCCAUCGAACCCAGAGAAAAUAGAAUCCUACCCACACAAAGGCAUGCAUAUGGCCCAGCCCCUCAACCGAGCCAUGGAAGUUUCUUCCCAGGGUGUUCCUUUUUCUCCCCCCUUCCCUUUUCAGCCUUUCUUGCACAGCUUGCGAGUGUCCAGAGUGUACGAGCUGGAUGGCAAAUCCAGAGAGCCCGGGAUGAAAUGAAUCAGCGUUCCUGUUUCCUCCCCCGGCCCAUCUGUCUUCCUGGAGCGUCGGAUGGUGGAUGGCCAAGACCGCCUGACCGUAUUCGUAUAUUAGCUUGAUUUCUUUUUCUUUCUUUCUUUUUUUUUUAAAUUUCUUUUUCUUUACUGACUUAUUUUUUAAGAAUCCUGUGGGCGCUGUGUGCCCACAGGCAGCUCACGUGCUCCAUCGGCCCUCGGGUGGGCGCUGGUUGGCAAGUUGCUCUAUCUUUCGCAAGUGCCACCCGUAGGCCGGGCCUGCCCGGGCUCUGUUUUCUUGGGCGAUGACUUCUCUUUCUCUGUAUCAAUAAAGGAUAUUUUCUGAGCGGAUGAUUUCCUUUUUAAAAAAUUUUAAAUUCAAAUUGCCUAUAUGUAGUAUAACACCCGGUGCUCAUUGAGCAAAUGAUUUCUGAUGCAACAUAGAAGCCACAAUCUGGGGGCUGUAAACAAGUAUCCGGCCUACGAACUGCACUUGGUCAUCACGGCAAAGCGUGCUACCGUCCUAACGUCAAGGUUAAAAACAGACCCCGGUGGAGAGCGUCUUUGUUUACUACGACGACCGAGGCCUGUGAGGUCCCAGUCUCCCAACUGCCCUGGAGAGAACCGGUUCUGGCUCAUUCUUGACUUGGAGAUAAAAGCACUGAGGCUAGCAGAGUGUACUGGAUCUGCUCUGCUUCCCUCGGCAUCUGGGUACCAGGAUUCCAAGGGGAAACCGAGUCUCCCACAGGCCUCUCAGCUCAGGAGCCAGGUCACUCGGCGGGGGGUGGGGGUGGGGUCAGUGUUACCAGAUGCCCUUCAUCUCAGUAAAUAUUUCUGGGUGGUUUUCUCUCUCAUAAGCACCGUCCUGCUCAGACGAUUGCUUCUCACAAGACACAUGGGUAUUGGUGAUCUGCUGCCUUCGCUUUACUUUCUCCAGGAAAAGUCACGAUGGUAGGAGAGAAACUUCCUGUGUCUGAGUGGGAAGGGAUUUGCUGUCAUUAGGAAGCUUUGGGUGGCGGGCCACAGAGAAUCCGAGUAAAAAGUAAAAAAAAAAGAAAUCCUACUAAAUAGUAAAAAAACCCCAAAUCCACGUUGUCAGGCCCACUGGCAGUACUUUCAAAGUUCAGUGGCUCAGGGAUGUCAUCGGGGGCCCCCGUCCUCUUUGGGGGUGAACUCCUUAGGCUUGUCCUCUCCUGGUCAUAAAGUGGCUGCUGCUGCACCAGCCAUCACCUCAACACACAGACCCGUUUCUCCUUAGCUGACUUUCUUUAUCAAGGAGGAAAUCCUUUCUAGACAAUCUGCUCUUCCCCAGAUUUCUUUCAGCCCACCCACGUGCUCAGCCAACCCACACACCCCCUCACCGGGGUCCUCGGUCCCCUGCACGCUGUUCGCAGGCCAGGGGGCCCUUGUCCAGGCUCAUCUAGGUCCCCGUCUCCGUGGCCCCUCCCCUUCCUCCUCCUCCUCUUCUGAGCUGAAGGCUUGCAGCCCCCCUCCUCUGGGCCUGGGACGUACUAGGCUCCCAGAUAUCUUCCUGGACAAGCGUCAGGUUUGCACUUGCUCCUGCUCUUCCUUCUCCUGUCUCCUGUCCAGAUGACGCUCCAGGCGCUGGGGACUCUGGCAUUCUCACCCAAACGUCCCAAGACUGUUCUCCCCAGGGGUCUGCCUUCCUGAUGGCAAAGCCGAAGCAGGUGUGUCCCCGAGGCACCCGGGGGGUGGCUGCGGACCGGCCACUUGUGAGGCCACGG
rnacentral:lncRNA from 12 species